rnacentral:tRNA from 1 species
GCCCUCGGUGGCUCAGAUGGACAGAGCGUCUGCCAUGUAAGCAGGAGAUCCUGGGUUCGAGUCCCGGUCGGGGCA